rfam:Myotis brandtii contig197260, whole genome shotgun sequence.
GGUGGUUCUUGGCUGAUGCACCCCAGAAUUGGGCACCCUCCUGUCUGGUUCCAGGGUGUAUCACCUGGAAACCGCA